rnacentral:tRNA from 1 species
UGGCUGAGUGGUAAAGCGCUUGGCUUCUGAACUGGGGGUCCCAGGUUCAAAUCCUGG